UGAAAUGAUGAGGUACAUAGAAUUG
rnacentral:piRNA from 1 species